UGUACAGGAGUACAGGCCGGCACACGAGUGCCACAAAUAGUCCUUCCUAGAGAAUAUCACCCUUCUCAAGUUUAGGCAAAAUAAAGAGUAGUAGUGGUAGGGACUAUGUCUCUACUGGGACUAAUGAAAAGAACUUGGGAAUUGAGGUAGGACUCUACACCAAGGUCAAGGCUAGCUUCUCCCAGGACCCCAAGCUUCCUGGCCACUCUGUUAAGACUGCUCUUGGCAGAUGCUCCGCCAACAGGCAGGUGGAUUGACAAGAUGAGAAAUCUAACCAAUGUGAUGGGAGCAGGCAGCUGGCAACACUAAGCAGCGUAGGAGCCUCUGGGGACAGGCCCAGCUGAAAAGAGCUGUCUGGAAGCUGUGUGGAAAGCUCUCCCUCGUGUGGUUUCCAGCCCAUGACAAGCCCGGAGCACAAUCCAAGUCCUGGCGAGCAGAGAGUUGCUGGUGCACAUUAAUAGUAUCAUGGGAGCCCAGGCAGAGUGGGAGCAGCGAGCUCGGCCACCUGCUGCCUUAGGAGACUUGGCCCACAGGCCCUUGAGAGACUCUCCGAAGGUCCUCAGUGGGUAGCUCCAGGAUGAGGGUCUCUUAGCGCCGCCCUACUCUGCUGACUUCUGGAAGAGGCUGAUUGGCCUCCUAGUCCUGGUUUCCUGAGGUGGGACACCUCCAGAAGAGCUCCAGAAGAGAGGAUAAGAUACAACAAUGUCCGGCACCAGACCAGGCCCAGUGUCAGCAGACCACUGUGUGCUCCAGACCACACUUAGCUCAUUCACAGCAGUGCAACCUGGCACACCAAGACUACAGAGUUCUCACUGAAAGGUGAUCGGAGUUCUGAUUUCUCUCCAGGUGUACAGAGUCAAAGACGUGUAAGAGAGAGGGACUGGAAAGAUCGCUCCACUGAGCACAGGGUGUUCUUCCAGAAGAUCUGGCUUUAAUUUUCAGUACCCACGUGGUAGCUUGCAAGUAUCUAUAACUUCCAUUCCAGGGGGAUCCUGGUGUCCUCUUCUGGCCUCCACGAAUGCUGUGCACACAUGGUAGACACACUCAGACAC